rnacentral:rRNA from 1 species
GAUUGAACGCUGGCGGUAGGCUUAACACAUGCAAGUCGAGCGGGGGAAGGUAGCUUGCUACUGGACCUAGCGGCGGACGGGUGAGUAAUGCUUAGGAAUCUGCCUAUUAGUGGGGGACAACAUCUCGAAAGGGAUGCUAAUACCGCAUACGUCCUACGGGAGAAAGCAGGGGAUCUUCGGACCUUGCGCUAAUAGAUGAGCCUAAGUCGGAUUAGCUAGUUGGUGGGGUAAAGGCCUACCAAGGCGACGAUCUGUAGCGGGUCUGAGAGGAUGAUCCGCCACACUGGGACUGAGACACGGCCCAGACUCCUACGGGAGGCAGCAGUGGGGAAUAUUGGACAAUGGGGGGAACCCUGAUCCAGCCAUGCCGCGUGUGUGAAGAAGGCCUUAUGGUUGUAAAGCACUUUAAGCGAGGAGGAGGCUACUUUAGUUAAUACCUAGAGAUAGUGGACGUUACUCGCAGAAUAAGCACCGGCUAACUCUGUGCCAGCAGCCGCGGUAAUACAGAGGGUGCGAGCGUUAAUCGGAUUUACUGGGCGUAAAGCGUGCGUAGGCGGCUUAUUAAGUCGGAUGUGAAAUCCCCGAGCUUAACUUGGGAAUUGCAUUCGAUACUGGUGAGCUAGAGUAUGGGAGAGGAUGGUAGAAUUCCAGGUGUAGCGGUGAAAUGCGUAGAGAUCUGGAGGAAUACCGAUGGCGAAGGCAGCCAUCUGGCCUAAUACUGACGCUGAGGUACGAAAGCAUGGGGAGCAAACAGGAUUAGAUACCCUGGUAGUCCAUGCCGUAAACGAUGUCUACUAGCCGUUGGGGCCUUUGAGGCUUUAGUGGCGCAGCUAACGCGAUAAGUAGACCGCCUGGGGAGUACGGUCGCAAGACUAAAACUCAAAUGAAUUGACGGGGGCCCGCACAAGCGGUGGAGCAUGUGGUUUAAUUCGAUGCAACGCGAAGAACCUUACCUGGCCUUGACAUACUAGAAACUUUCCAGAGAUGGAUUGGUGCCUUCGGGAAUCUAGAUACAGGUGCUGCAUGGCUGUCGUCAGCUCGUGUCGUGAGAUGUUGGGUUAAGUCCCGCAACGAGCGCAACCCUUUUCCUUACUUGCCAGCAUUUCGGAUGGGAACUUUAAGGAUACUGCCAGUGACAAACUGGAGGAAGGCGGGGACGACGUCAAGUCAUCAUGGCCCUUACGGCCAGGGCUACACACGUGCUACAAUGGUCGGUACAAAGGGUUGCUACACAGCGAUGUGAUGCUAAUCUCAAAAAGCCGAUCGUAGUCCGGAUUGGAGUCUGCAACUCGACUCCAUGAAGUCGGAAUCGCUAGCAAUCGCGGAUCAGAAUGCCGCGGUGAAUACGUUCCCGGGCCUUGUACACACCGCCCGUCACACCAUGGGAGUUUGUUGCACCAGAAGUAGCUAGCCUAACUGCAAAGAGGGCGGUUACCACGGUGUGGCCGAUGACGGGGG